CGCGGGGUAAAGUAUUUUGGUAUCUCACAAGGCUCAUAACCUUGAGGUCACAGGUUCAAAUCCUAUCUCUGCAA
rnacentral:tRNA from 1 species